AUGGCAGGGGGGUUCGUCGCUGCAGACGCCAAGACCGGCCACCGGCAGUUCAAAGGAAAAAUCACAUGGUACGUUUGGAUCUGUGGCAUCAUCGCUGCCACCUGCGGGUUGAUGUUCGGCUACGACAUUGGUAUCUCAGGCGGUGUGACGGCCAUGGAUGACUUCCUGGUGCGGUUCUUCCCGACGGUGUACGCGCGGAAGCACCGCGCCAAGGAGAACAACUACUGCAAGUUCGACGACCAGCGGCUGCAGCUCUUCACGUCGUCGCUCUACCUGGCCGCGCUCGUCACCAGCCUAGGGGCGUCCAUGGCGUGCACGCGCUUCGGCCGCAAGCGCACCAUGCAGGCCGCCUCCGUCUUCUUCCUCAUCGGCGCCGGGCUCUGCGCGGGGGCCGUCAACAUCGCCAUGCUCAUCAUCGGCCGCAUCAGCCUCGGCGUCGGCGUCGGCUUCGGCAACCAAGCGGCGCCGCUCUUCCUCUCCGAGAUCGCGCCGGCGCACAUCCGCGGGGCGCUCAACAUCCUCUUCCAGCUCAACGUCACCAUCGGGAUCCUCGUGGCCAACAUCGUCAACUACUAUACCUCCAACAUCCACCCGAUCGGCUGGAGAUACUCGCUCGGCGGUGCGGCGGUCCCGGCGGCGAUACUGUUCCUCGGGUCGCUCGUCAUCACCGAGACGCCGACGAGCCUCGUGGAGCGCGGGCACCGCGUGGCCGGCCGCGCCAUGCUGGAGAGGAUCCGCGGCACUAAGGAGGUGGACGAAGAGUUCGACGAGAUCAACUCCGCGUGCGAGACGGCGGCCGCGUUGUGCGCGGAGGAGAAGCCGUUCCGGCGGCUCAGGCGCCGGGAAAGCCGGCCGCCGCUGGUGAUCGCCAUUCUCAUGCAGGUGUUCCAGCAGUUCACGGGCAUCAACGCCAUCAUGUUCUACGCGCCGGUCUUGUUCCAGACCAUGGGCUUCGAGAGCAAUGCCUCCCUCCUCUCCGCCGUCGUGACCGGUGGCGUCAACGUCAUCUCCACACUGGUGUCCAUCAUCCUGGUCGACAAGAUCGGCCGCCGCAAGCUACUCCUCGAGGCCUGCGUCCAAAUGCUCAUCGCCCAGGUGACGGUGGGAGGGAUCAUGUGGGUGCAAGUGAAAGACAACAACAACCCUAGCCACUCGUGGGCGCUGGCCAUCGUGGUGCUGAUAUGCGUCUACGUGUCGAGCUUCGCGUGGUCGUGGGGCCCCAUGGGGUGGCUCAUCCCGUCGGAGACGUUCCCGUUGGCGACCCGGACGGCGGGCUUCUCCUGCGCGGUGAGCGCCAACAUGUUCUUCACCUUCGUCAUCGCGCAGGCGUUCCUGUCCAUGAUGUGCACCAUGCGGGCCUUCAUCUUCUUCUUCUUCGCCAUCUGCAUCGUCAUCAUGGGGGUCUUCGUCCUCACGCUGCUGCCGGAGACCAAAGGCGUGCCCGUCGACGAGAUGCUCGACAGGGUGUGGCGGCGGCACUGGUUCUGGAAGAGGUUCUUCGCUGACGCCGACGAGGCCAAGAUUAAUAACUGCUAG
rnacentral:rRNA from 1 species